GGCGACCGGCGCACGGGUGCGUAACGCGUAUGUAACCUACCUAUAACAGGGGCAUAACACUGAGAAAUUGGUACUAAUUCCCCAUAAUAUUCGGAGAGGCAUCUCUCCGGGUUGAAAACUCCGGUGGUUAUAGAUGGACAUGCGUUGUAUUAGCUAGUUGGUGAGGUAACGGCUCACCAAGGCAACGAUACAUAGGGGGACUGAGAGGUUAACCCCCCACACUGGAACUGAGACACGGUCCAAACUCCUACGGGAGGCAGCAUG
rnacentral:rRNA from 1 species